ACCUUGUUUCAGGCUUCGACUGUGAAGGGAGAGCGAAUGAGAGCUGUUUCAACCAGGUGUCUGGCAGAAUGCCAUGAGCUCAGUCUCAUGCACGCCCGUGAGAGCGACCUGCGUUCCAUUGCAUUUCUGAAGACAAAGGAAUUGUCCGUGCUCGUGCCUGGAUUUGUGAACUAAAGGCACAAACAAAAAGGAGGUAUUUGGACAUAAAUUAUGGACUUUGUCGAACAAAACAAACAUUUAUUGUGGAUCUGGGAUUCCUGUCCCUUCACAGGCUGAGAAGGAUCCUCCUAUAAGAGCAGAACAUUAGUCCUUGUAGACGUCUUGGAGGCCCAAAAACGUCUCAGCUGCAGAUAUAAUGAUGACCAGCUUCUUGGAUGUCUUGUGUAGCACAAUUAAUAACUGUGGUUAUAAAUACUAAAAUAUCCACCUUCACAAUAAGUGUAUCCAGAUCACUUGAUUGAUGUACAACAUUUACAACUGGUUGAGGUGCAUCCACCACCAUAUCUUCUAUAGAACUGUGGCCUCUUGCCCCUAUAACUCUCUUAAAUACACUUAGGUUGGAGUCAUUAAAACUCGUUUUUCAACCACUCCACAAAUUUCUUGUUAACAAACUAUAGUUUUGGCAAGUCGGUUAAGACAUCUAAUUUGUGCAUGGCACAAGUCAUUUUUCCAACAAUUGUUACCAGACAGAUUAUUUCACUUUUAAUUCACUAUAUCACAAUUCCAGUGGGUCAGAAGUUUACAUACACUAAGUUGACUGUGCCUUUAAACAGCUUGGAAAACGAUGUCAUGGCUUUUGAAGCUUCUG